rnacentral:rRNA from 1 species
GAUGAACGCUGGCGGCGUGCCUAAUACAUGCAAGUCGAGCGAACAGACGCGGAGCUUGCUCCUCUGACGUUAGCGGCGGACGGGUGAGUAACACGUGGAUAACCUACUUAUAUGACUGGGAUCACUUCGGGAAACCGGCGCUAAUCCCGGAUAAUAUAUUGAUCCGCAUGGUUCAAUAGUGAAAGACGGUUUUGCUGUCACUUCUCGCUGGAUCUGCGCCGCAUUAGCUAGUUGGUAAGGUAACGGCUUAUCAAGGCAACGAUGCGUAGCCGACCUGAGAGAGUGGUCGGCCACACGGGAGCGGAGACACGGUCCAGACGACUACGGGAGGCAGCAGUAGGGAAUCUUCCGCAAUGGGCGGAAGCCUUACGGAGCAACGCCGCGUGAGUGAUGAAAGUCUUCGGAGCGGAAAACUCUGUUAUUAGGGAAAAACAAAUUUGUAAGUAACUAUGCACGUCGUGACGGUACCUGAUCAGAAAGCCACGGCUAACUACGUG